GUGGCUUAGAGGUUAAGAGCACUGGCCUCUCUUCCAGAGGUCCUGAGUUCAAGUCUCAGC
rfam:Mus musculus chromosome 15, GRC primary reference assembly.